UGUAAUAGGGUCCAGCCAAUUUUUAGAUGUUUUCGUUGUGUUUUAGGAGGAUUCCUAGACUGUUUCGGAGUCCCUCAAGGGCCUGUCCGAAAACCACCUAGUUCCCCUCCUAUUUAUACCCCAUGAGCCCCCCCAUGGAGCCUUCGGUUUUGAUUAGAUAAAGUUUAGCCUUUGCUACUUCGUGUAAUCGCGUGUGUCGGUUAGACCACCUGUUUUACCGUCAUCAAGACUCCAACUAUAUUGAGUAUUCAGAUUCGUGAACCUUCAUAUCUCCUAUUCGCAAUUUCAGAUUGCUUUUCAUCUUGUUCUUGCUUGUUCUUCGAUUGCUUGCAGGAACAAAGACCUUCGUGGUCAGGUUGAUCGUGCCCCCGUGUGAUCAAUAACCUUCUGGAGUUGGUGUAUCGAUCGCUAGGGCGCUGCCUCCUAGGUUGUAGUCGGAUCGUCAACGUCACCUCCUACCAAAUCGAUAAUUAGGUAUCUCAUCGAAAGAUCGGGACACCCUCGAGGCUAUCACGUGGUAUCAGAGCUUAAGGUUGCUCGGUGAGAUUUUUCCAGUUUAUCCGUAGUUUAGAUCUGUUUUUACCUAUCGUCCAGAAAAAGCCAAACAAAAAUUAGAAUUAGUUACCUUGUCCUACAACCAAUCUGAGCCUUGCAAUUUUCACAUUAGUAUUUGCAUUGUUGAAUCUUUGCUGCAUUAAUCGUGUCGAGUUGCUGGAUUAGAUUGGAUCGUUUUUCAGAUUUUUUCUACUAGAUCGAACUUGUUUUUGUCUUUUGAUUUCGUGUGACGCAGGCUUUCCAUCAAACUUCCGCCGCCAAACUUCCUGCCACACCACCGCCAUAAUCUUCCGCUGCCACCAUAUCUUCCACCGAGUCCCUCUUCGAGUCCUCCACCGAGUCCUUCUUCGAGUCCUACACCGAGUCCCUCGUCGAGUCCUACACCGAGUCCCUUGUCGAGUCCUAUAUCGAGUCGGCAAGUUAUAGUUUUCAGCCGCGAGUUUGAGUCCGAGUCCAAUCAAGAGUGCUUUCGGAAAGUGUUUCAUAAUAGAUCGAAUUUUGUUUAGAGAUCAAGUUGUUCGGAAAGUUGUGAAAAAAAAGGAAAGAAAAAAAAAAGAAAAGAAAGAAAAAAAAACGAAAAAAAAGAGGAAGAGUUCGAGUCAGUUUCGGACCCGAGUCCAAGUAGAAUUAGAGUUUCGGGUGGGUUUGACCCGUGUUCACUAAAACGGCCGUAUCUUUUGCAUACGAAGUCAGAUUUGGACGUUCCAGGACUUUUCGGAAAGCUCUCGACGAGGCGCAUCCUCUAAAAUUAACAGCUCCUUGACCCUCAAAUUUGGCCUCUAAGGUGGACUUUUCGUGCUCCGAAGUUUCGGCACCGGGGCAGUGCAGUAUAUCUCAGUUUUCUCUACCGUCCGACCUCCGUUUCGAGUGAUCUUGCACUUGUUGGAAAGCUUGUUUUGAUACGCUUCUAACCCAUAUUUUCUCAUAUUUUGCUGCGUUUUCCUUACUACAGUCUUUGCUAUUCUCCUACAGACCGACGUGCAGCUUUCUGGUCUUAACUUCUUUUGUGUGAGUUUCUGGGGAUAAAAAAAAAGAAAAAAAAAUAGAAAAGAAUAAGAAGCCAAACAGAAGGCCACAAAAAGAAAAAGAAAAAAGAGAAAAAAUAUUCCCCAGAGAUUUACUUGUUUUACCUUUCAUUUGAUCUUUCCUUUCUACCUUUUUCAGUAUCUAGGCUUAGUUAAUUUCUGUAAUUCGUUCUUAUCGACUCCAGCAGCUAGGACUAGCAUUUUUGAGCAUAUUUUCAACUUUGCAUUGCUGAUUUGAUUAUUCGCUUUUCCUUGCUACUCACAUAAGCCUCCAAGCUCCACAGGUUCUACACCUAGGUUGGUUUGCCUCGAGGCAUCGAUACAUUAAUCUUCGGAGGGCUUGUUCUCGCCGCUGGCCAUCACCUUCCUGUUUGCUGGGUAAGAACGAGUAAGAACUGGAUUAAAAGUUGAGUGGAGUGAUCUUUGGAACCCCACAUCCUAGUAGUGCAUAGGGACUUUUCCUUGUGAUUUUUUUUCUUGUUUUCUCCUAACGAUGGCAGGUUCUGACGAUGAUUUACAAGGCCACUCUCCACGCACAAAGGGCAUUAUUUCACAUUUUGAUCGCAAGCUUAGGCUUCGUAACGAGGAGCUGGAUGAGGACGUUCGGGUUGCGAAUGAGAGAGACUUGGAACCUUGGAGAGCGCGCACAUUGAAACAAAUACUAAGCUAACAUCUUUACAGAAUUCUGUUGCUACCAUUAGUACUUCUCUGGCAGAAAUCACGACGCAACUGGCGGCACUUGCUGCAACGACCAUCGCUACACCGGGAGGAAACAAUACACACAACUAGCGGACCGCUAAUAACGGUACCUUCGCAAGCGAGGUUGAGGAGAACGACGACGACUACUCCGCGGAUACGGAACACGACGGGGCCGUAAACCAUCACAACGACCGUGAUCGUCGCCAAACUCAUUUCAACCGCCGAGGUAUGGGACCGACACGACCUCA
rnacentral:lncRNA from 1 species